rnacentral:rRNA from 1 species
ACACAUGCAAGUCGAGGGGCAGCAUGUCGGUUGCUUGCAACCGACGAUGGCGACCGGCGCACGGGUGAGUAACGCGUAUCCAACCUACCCUUGUCCAUCGGAUAACCCGUCGAAAGGCGGCCUAACACGAUAUGCGGUUCACCGCAGGCAUCUAACGUGAACGAAAUGUGAAGGAGAAGGAUGGGGAUGCGUCUGAUUAGCUUGUUGGCGGGGUAACGGCCCACCAAGGCGACGAUCAGCAGGGGUUCUGAGAGGAAGGUCCCCCACAUUGGAACUGAGACACGGUCCAAACUCCUACGGGAGGCAGCAGUGAGGAAUAUUGGUCAAUGGACGAGAGUCUGAACCAGCCAAGUAGCGUGCAGGAAGGCGGCCCUAUGGGUUGUAAACUGCUUUUAUAGGGGGAUAAAGUGUGCCACGUGUGGCAUAUUGCAGGUACCCUAUGAAUAAGGACCGGCUAAUUCCGUGCCAGCAGCCGCGGUAAUACGGAAGGUCCGGGCGUUAUCCGGAUUUAUUGGGUUUAAAGGGAGCGUAGGCCGUCUUAUAAGCGUGUUGUGAAAUGUCGGGGCUCAACCUGGGCAUUGCAGCGCGAACUGUGAGACUUGAGUGCGCAGGAAGUAGGCGGAAUUCGUCGUGUAGCGGUGAAAUGCUUAGAUAUGACGAAGAACUCCGAUUGCGAAGGCAGCCUGCUGUAGCGCAACUGACGCUGAAGCUCGAAAGCGUGGGUAUCGAACAGGAUUAGAUACCCUGGUAGUCC